AGAGUACGUGAAACCGUUUAGGGGUAAACCUGAGAAACCCGAAAAGUCGAAGGGAGAAAUUCACCGCGGUUCGACGAAGGUGACGUAUCGACGCGUGACUGCGCUCUUCGGACGCGCGGCGCCGUCGAUACGUUUUUUUUAUCGACGACGAACGCGUGCACUUUUCUCCCGGUAGGACGUCGCGAUCCGUUGGGCGUCGGUCUACGGCUGACGGUGGAGACCGCGAGUCGUUCUUCGGAACGUACGCGCGGACCCGUUUGCACCCCGACCGACUCGCUCGACGGUAUACGAACGGUUUGGGGCCGCUUUUAAAGCGUCUGACUCGCGGCUUUCGAGCCGCGACGCUCUUGGACAGACCCUAUUCGAAAACCGAUCUGCGACGCUAUAGCUUUGGGUAAUUUCAGG
rnacentral:rRNA from 1 species